CUAAGAUGGCGGCCGGGGUGGGGGAACCUCAGGGUCUAUCAGGGUCUGUCAGGGUCCUCCGGGCUCCGCCAUCGCCCCUCAGCGCGGGGAGAGGUCGCACGCUGGGCUUUGGCUGGGUAUGGCCGCCGCGGUGGUGUCAGGCAGCCGCUUGUGCCACCCAGCGCCCUCAGGAACAGUCCAGACCGGCGUGGAUCGGGUGCUGCCCCCUCAGUACCACAGAAAAGGGGUGCGAUGAGUUACACAAGAGCAUUGACUGUUCACUCCGUGUGAGGCCACCAGGGUGCUCUGAUGUUCUCCAAGCGCUGCUAACCUGGAUUUGAAGCAGCUCCAUGUCACGUGGCAAAGUCCUGGAGUCCUCCUUCCCCUGGAAACACCUCAUUGCUCCAAGGACAUGGUCACAUGAAGAAUUACUUGGCAAAGCUGAUGGUGCACAAGGGACCAGACUCCAAGAUGAAAAGCAAGCCUUGCUGGAAUGUGAAAGCACAGAUUGCACCCUGGAUGAAUGUGGGCAGGAGCUGGAUGAAUAAAGAGAAUGAUGACUCCACCACUUCCCUGCAGAGCCCGUUCCAAGGAUUUUCAAGGUGUUCCAAGGAUUUUCAAGGUUUUCCAAGGAUUUCCAAGGAUGGAGGAGUGUGAACUGCUCAUGGUGUGCCUUGGCUCUGGAGCCCUCACUGAAACAUGGAGUUCUGCUCUGCCAAGUGUGUUUGUCAGCCCUGAGCUCACACCAAGUUUCUCAGCCCUGUGAGUCAGGGCUGGUGGGCAAAGAGGCAUGGAAAGCAUCCCAUCCAGCUCUGGGAAUUGGGAUGAGGCAUGGAGAGCUUGAGUUUAGCUAGAAGUGUGUGGGGGCUCCCAGGCUGAGCAGCACAGCCCAGCUGCUGUGGGACACACCACCUUGCACUACGGUGAGCUGCCUCAAGGUCACUGUGGGCAAAGUGCAGAACAAGGGCUUAGGCCAGGCUGGACUUGUCCUAGAAAGGACCUGGACAAGGAGGAGGAAGAUUGAGACUGAGGGAAGGGAAAGAAUGAUUCUGUGGGGGAAACUCUGAAAAUAUGUACUUCCCUUUCCUGAUAAAGUCACAGAGGGCGAGGCACUGAGGAGAGCUACCUUGUUUGUCUGCUCUCACACCCUGACAGGCCUGGGCAGCAGCACCCCCUUAUCUCCACCACGUUGGCACAUGUGGCUGUGUUCCC